rnacentral:rRNA from 1 species
AGAGUUUGAUCCUGGCUCAGAGCGAACGUUAGCGGCGGGCCUAACACAUGCAAGUCGAACGAGAACGCUCCUUCGGGAGUUAUUAAAGUGGCGCACGGGUGAGGAACGCGUAGGUAAUCUACCCUCCGGCGGGGGACAACAUUCCGAAAGGAAUGCUAAUACCGCGUAAGACCACACUCACUAAGGUGAGAGCGGUUAAAGACGGCCUCUUCUUGAAAGCCGUCACCAGAGGAUGAGCCUGCGUCCCAUCAGCUUGUUGGUGAGGUAAUGGCUUACCAAGGCGAAGACGGGUAGCUGGUCUGAGAGGAUGAUCAGCCACACUGGCACUGGAACACGGGCCAGACUCCUACGGGAGGCAGCAGUGAGGAAUAUUGGGCAAUGGGCGCAAGCCUGACCCAGCCACGCCGCGUGUGUGAUGAAGGCCUUCGGGUCGUAAAGCACUGUGGGGAGAGACGAACAAUUUCCGUCCUAAUACGACGGAGACCUGACGGUACCUCCUUAGCAAGCACCGGCUAACUCUGUGCCAGCAGCCGCGGUAAUACAGAGGGUGCAAACGUUGCUCGGAUUUACUGGGCGUAAAGCGCGUGUAGGCGGACUCGCAAGUCGGUUGUGAAAUCCCUGGGCUUAACCUAGGAACUGCAUCCGAAACUGCGUGUCUUGAGUAAUGGAGAGGGUGGCGGAAUUCCCGGUGUAGAGGUG